CAGUAGCCGCGGUAAUACGAAGGAUGCAAGCGUUAAUCGGAAUUACUGGGCGUAAAGCGUGCGUAGGCGGUUUGUUAAGUCUGUUGUGAAAUCCCCGGGCUCAACCUGGGAAUGGCAAUGGAUACUGGCAAGCUAGAGUGUGUCAGAGGAUGGUGGAAUUCCCGGUGUAGCGGUGAAAUGCGUAGAGAUCGGGAGGAACAUCAGUGGCGAAGGCGGCCAUCUGGGACAACACUGACGCUGAGGCACGAAAGCGUGGGGAGCAAACAGGAUUAGAUACCCCUGUAGUCCCUGUCUCUUAUAC
rnacentral:rRNA from 1 species